CAAUGCAAAUGCAGUGUUCUUCAAUUUCACCUCAAAGGCAGACGUGCAUCUUUCAGAGGAUAGGGUCUUAAAACAACUUCCAAACACAGAGGGAUGAGGAGUCACGAGCCAUUACUAUCUCAGGUUCCUCAGUGGGUAGAGGAGCUAAUUUUCAUGUAGUUCCUGGGAGGCCCGUCUUCGUGUUGGAGGAAGCUCAGAUCCCAAAGAACAAGCUUUCAUGCCGUCAAGACGGGCCACGGCAACAGUGGGGUUCUUGGAAGAAACACAGAAACAGCCAUGCACUGAGGCUCCAUGGGGGAGGGGCAUAAAAUGCAAUCCAAGAAGACAUGUUAUGGAGGUACAGAGAUUAGAACUCUCCUCAUAUAGUUUCAUUCAUGGACUCUGUUCAGACAGCAGCUGAAUCAUAUUCCAUAAUGCAUGGGUAACCAUUUUCUGCGGAAUGAUGUUCAGUUUGUUUCCACUGAUUGACUACCAGGAAUGGGGAAGCAGCGAGCAUGACCGAGUAGCCGUCUGUGCACAGAGAGGUUGAGUUCACUGAGAACAUACCAGGAAAUGGUAUAGGUUUUUAACUUCACUAUUGCUCAAGAAUUUGAUGAAUGGAUGAUUUUUGGUAUAGAUUCCUCCACAUCUCCUCUUCCCAAGAUUCCACUGGGUCCUUGCAAACAACAGAGCAACUCACUGAGACACCAGUGUCCUGGAGAGACCAGAAUCGAAGAAGCUUAUGAAUGAUUUGACACGGACGCCGUGUGUCUUUCCGUGCCGUGCUCAGGACGGAUUAAUGCCUUCCCCGCUCAGCCAUCGUCAGAGAAGCUUCCUCCUGCAGUAGAUGUGAACGAAAACAGAGACCCACGGCAGGACAUCAUGCAGAGUGUGUGACCUUGGAACACUCAGACCUAAACAGAUGCCUUCACCGUAUCCCUCCCUUUCUAAGCUCAGGGAACCCUGCUGAAGGGAAGACAAAAAAGGACCACUUCGAUGAAUGUAAUAUAACAGAUUGGGAAUGGCCCAAAUCUAAGAACUACUCUUCAUAUAUUCCAAGAAACAACAGAUUAUAUUCUUUAAAGAACCACACGUCAUGGAAGGAAUACAUGCUUGGAACCCUCCAGUGUUCAUUUCGGUUUUGAACAGUGCGAGUCAGUAGCUCUAAGAAAACAGAAGAUCGUGCGUAUUUAUUCUCUUCCAUUACUCACAUAGCAAAUUCACUGUCAGCAACAUGUAGAACUUUCAAAAGACGAAGGACAGUCUUGUCCAUCUGCCAGUGGCCUUCUUAUGUCCCCCUGUGGCUAGUAAACCAUCAUUUCACAGCAGGAACAUUUCAAAAAGGUAAUUUUCUUUAUAGCUGCCUGGUGAAAGUGCUUACAUCUACUAUCAAUUUCAAUUAUACCUGGUAAUUCUAUGCAGAAACUUAGUACCCCACGGAGAGGAGAGGAAACGAAUGACCAUUUAUUGGGUGAUAAAAUAAUGCAUCUAAACAAGAAAAUUUUUGUGUAAAGGAUUGAUCUUGGGAUUCAGACAGUACUUUUAAAUUUUAAUGUUAUGUUAGGUACUGUGAAAGCAUAUACAUGGUCUUUACUACUACAUCAUGUGAGUAAUGCAAUUUUUAUUUUUCAUUAAGGAUGUUUAUCUUAGUUAUGGUUUUACUGCUGUGAACAGACACCAUGACCAAGGCAACUCUUAUAAGAGCAACAUAUAAUUGGGGCUGGCUUACAGGUUCAGAGUUUCAGUCCAUUAUCAUCAAGGCAGGAGCAUGACAGUGUGUAGUGUGUAGGCAGGCAUGGUGCAGGCUGAGCUGAGAGUUCUACAUCUUCAUCUGAAGGCUGCUAGCAGAAUACUGACUUCCAGGCAGCUAGGACUAGAGUCUUAAAGCCCACUCACCCAGUGACACACCUACUCCAACAAGGCCACACCUCCAAAUAGUUCCACACCCUGAGUCAAGCAUAUAUGAACCAUCACAGUGUUGAAGCUCAAAGUGACAUAAAGGACAAUGUUCAUGUGUAUGUUUUCUUGAGAUUUAAAUUCAUAUCUCUAUCUUGAGACCAGUAUUUGUUGUGCAAACCACAUCUUCUAUUUGGGAAUCUCUAUAAAAGCAAAACAGCAUACAGUGAGGAGCAUAUAAACAAAGUUGUGGAAUCUGAGAAAUCCACUAUCGAGGUAUCUGAUAAUUAUAAAUAUGGUCAGGUAUGACUUUCUUAAUUUUCUGCUUGGAUUCUCACAUGAUGGGUGGGGCAAGGCAGCCAUCUGGGAUAUCUGUAAUAAGGGCUUUCUGUUAAUUUUAUUUGCAACAGUGACAAAAACCAGAGUAACUUUAGACAGGGCAGAUUUAUAUUUGUUCAUGGUUCAACCAAGCUUCAGUCCAUCACAAUGAGAAGGCACAUUAGAUCAAGCUCAGGAAACUUGUGGUACAGGCUGUUUGCAUCACAGCAAGCCAGGAAGCAGAAAGGUGAUGGCUAGUUUUCACUGUCAACUUGAGACAUUAUAGAAUCACUUCAAAAGUGAGUCUCAAUGAGAAGUCGUCUAUAAUGGUUGGCCAGUAGGCCAUGUCUAUGAGGGAUUUUUUUUUAAUUGAGUUAAUUGAGAUAGACUACCCUAACUAUGAGAGACAUUGUUUCAUGGUCUGUAGUCCAGAAUUAAUGAUAAAAUUAAUGAAACUACACAUUUAAUAGAGGGUUAAUAGAGGGACACAAUGAUCUUAGCACUAGGAUGUCUUAUUAACUCAUUGCCAUCUGCUUUUGACUGCCAAAUGGUAUGACUUGCUGCCUCAAGUUUUUGCUGCCUCGAGUUCUCCACAGCGAUGGACUAUAACUUGAAAUUAUGAACCAAAUGUACUUUUUAUCUCUUAAGUUGAUUUUCUUGUGGUAGUGUAUCACAGCAACAGAGAAUGCAACUAAGACAAAGAGAUAGGCAAGAACCAGGUUUCACUAUAAACUUGGAAGAACCAUCUCCACUUACCUAACUUUGCUAGCUGUCGCCUACCUCACAAAGUUUCUAGAACCUCCAAGGAUAGCAUGUUCAGACAGAAUCGAACUAUUCAAAACAUAGCCCUGUCAGGGAUUGAAUAUGUUUGCUCCUGAAGGACACCAUUCUUCAGACAAAGCAACAGACUACAGAAUGGGAACGUGUGUGUGUGUGUGUGUGUGUGUGUGUGUGUGUGUGUGUCAAACUACACAUUUAAUAGAGAUUAAUGUCCUAAAUAUACAAAGAACACAAAAAAAUCUAGGUAUCGACAAAACAAAAAAUCCAAUGUAAAAGGGGGCACAGAUUUAAACAGAAAGUUAUCAAAAGAGAAAAAAUAGAUGGGUGAGGAACAUUUACUAUUCAACACCCUCAGUCAUCAAGGACAUGACAAAACUCUUUGAGAUUUAAUUUUACAACACUCAGAAUACACCAAGAUUAAUAAAAAACAAAUAACAAUUCAUACUGGUGAGGAUGCAGAGUAUGGGAAAUACUCACCUAUUGACUGUUGGACUGCAAACUAGUAGACCUGUUAUGGUAAUCAGUGCAGGAAGAUGAGAACAGGUCUACCCCAAGGUUCAGCUACAAGACUCUUGGGUAUAGACCCAAAGGAUUAUAUAUCCUUCUACGGAGAUACUUGUUUAACCAUGUUCAUUGUGGCUUUUAUUCAUAAUAGCCAGAAAUUGGAAAUAGCUUUGAUGUCCAUUAAUGGAUGAAUGGAUGGAGACAAUGUAAUACAUUUAACGAAUGGAAGAUUACUCGGCUAUUCUAAAGAUGAAUCAAGAAAUCUUCUGGUAAAUAGAUAGAACUAGAGAAAAAAACCUCCUCAGAAAUUGGACUACCUGAGGACUCAUCUGUACCACUUCUGGGCAUAUACCCAAAUGAUGCUCCAACAUACAACAAAGACAUGUGCUCCACUAUGUUCAUAGCAGCCUUAUUUAUAAUGAAGGUCAAGAAGGAAGACCAAAAUGUGGAUGCUUCAUAUCUUCUUAGAAGGGGGAACAAAAAUGUUCACAGGAGGAAAUAAAGGGACCAAAUGUGGAGCAGAGACUGAAAGGCCAUCCAGAGGUUGCCCCACAUAGUGAUGUACCCCAUAUACAGCCACCAAAGCCAGAUUAUAUUGUGGAUGUCAAGAAGUGCCUGCUGACAGGAGCCUGAUAUAGCGGUCUGCUGAGAGGCUCUGCCAGAGCCUGACAAAUACAGAGGUGGUUGCUAGCAGCCAACCAUUGAACUGAGAAUAGGGUUCCCAGUGGAAGAGUUAGAAAAAGAACUGAAGUAGCUGAAGGGGUUUACAACCCAAUAUGAAGAACACAAUAUCAACCAGUUAUACCCACCCUGCCCAGAACUCCCAGGGAUAAAAACCACCAUCCCAAGAGAACUCAGAAAUGUUCCUAUGACUCCAUCUGCAUAUGUAGCAGAGGAUGGCCUUGUCAGGCAUCAGUGGGAGGAAAAGUCCUUGGUCCUGUGAAGGCUUGAUGUCUCAGUGUAGGGGAAUUUCAGAGUGGGGAGUAGGUGGGUGGGUUGGUGGGUGAGGGAGUACCCUCAUAGAAGCAGGAGUAUGGAAUAGUGGGUUUCUGGAAGGGAAACCAGGAAAUAGGAUAACACUUAAAAUGUAAAUUAAAAAUGCAACUAAAAACAAAAAAGAAAAACUCAUUCUGAGUGAGAUACCUCCAAAAGACAAAUAUGAUACAUAUUUGCUUAUAUAUAGGUAUUAGUGUUCGAUAAGCACAUUACAAUUCCUACAACCACAGAGAGUAGAUGUAGAGUAAGAUACUAGGAGUGAGGGAAAGAUUCCUUUGGAUGGGGAAAUAAAAUAGAUAGUUAUAGAUAGAUAGGGGACUGGAAUGGGAGGGACAAGCUAAGUAAGGGAGUGAAUAGUGAGGACGGCAGAAAGUCAGGGCAAUUUGUAGAGUUGUAUAGAAACCUCGUGUGGUAAAAUCUUCUUAAAAUACUUGCAUAUAUGAAGGUUGUAUAAAUUGGGGGAGAGCAAGAACCACUUAGAUAUCUCUCCAGCAACUUCACCUCAAGUGCCAGGAAUAUGUUAUACCAAAUCAAGUUGUUGGCCAAAGGGGUGCCAUGGAAAUCUUCAAACAUCACAGGCUAUUGGUUGUCCUUCCUAAAGGACAGAUGGUAAGGGCAUCGGCAACACCUGCAUUACUCACUUAGUCAAGAGCUGGUAUUUACCUAAGACCAUUAAUCCACCUGAUUGGUAUUCGUGGUACUAUAAGGUAUUCUGUGCACUAUGAGAGGAGGAAGGCAAGCAGCAGCUUUAAACCCUGAGGUCCACAGUGGUGAACUGCCUGCAAGAUAGGCUGAGGCAAUAGUACACAAAAAUUGUGGGAGUAACCAACCACGGUCUGAUGGGAAUUAAACCCACUCAAGGAAAUGGAACCUGUGAUUAAUCAACACUGCUUGCCUGGCCAAGAUGCUUGGACUAAAUAGGCCAAUGACAUGUUUAGUCUUUCCUAGGGGAAAACCAAAUGCCAUUGUUCUGAUAAAGGAAAGUAACAAAGAAAUGACUCCAAUUGACAUUCUGCUCUUCUCACAAAUCAGUGUAUCUCUCAGUCAUCACCAGAGAAGCUUCUUCCUUCAAUAAAUGAGAACAAUAAAGGGACACACAAUUGAACAAUGUGCUAAGAGCAAGUGACUUUGGAACACUCGGUCAUAAAUGGGAUAUACCCGCCAAAUUCCUCCCCUCAGGAACUUUAUAGAACAGGAGGCAAAAAAUUUGCCUUCUAUAUAAAACAGGACUGAUGCACAUAUGAAGUCAUGGAGACUCUAGUAUCAUGUUUAGGGCCUGCACAGGUCUAAAUCAGAUAGGGUCCCAGUGCUGAGAAGGAAAGUGAACACAUGCCCCAUCUUUAACACAGAAUCUAUCUCUAGUUGAUAAAUGCUCUCAGAGAGGGAAGGUAGUUUCCUCUAUUGGAAUUUCACUGCAUAUACACUGCAUGUCCUCAUGGACAGCCCCAUACCCACCCAUGUAUGAACAACACAGAAUGAACUCAAUAAUACUCUUGGAGUAGUUGUUUAACAAUGCUUUGUCUGAGCUUAAAAAAAAACCUUACAGGUCUUUUACUUACAUACUAUGUUUUCUGGUAGGUGGGAUGGGUGAGACCAAAGGACGAAUUCUGGUUCUGCAUGUUCAGCACCUGGAUCGCAUAGUGUCAUCAUAUGAGCCCUGAGAAAGCUCCAUCCCUAUGGCUUUGCCCUUUGGAGCACUGAUAAGCCCUCUGUCUUAAGCUGUCAGCAUGUGGUAUCUCCAGCUUUCAAUAGGCAUAUCUUAUAUUCUUGGCUUCCCAAUAUCCUGGCAUCUUCACUUUAGAUUAGGCUUCAGCUAAAUCUUUAUAAACAUGGGGAACCUCUUUUUUUUUAAUUAACUUGAGUAUUUCUUAUUUACAUUUCAAUUGUUAUUCCCUUUCCCGGUUUCCAGCAAACAUUCCCCUAAUCCCUCCCCUCCCCUUCUUUAUGGGUGUUCCCCUCCACACCCUUCCCCCAUUGCCGCCCUCCCCCCAACAAUCACGUUCACUGAGGGUUCAGUAUUAGCAGGACCAAGGGCUUCCCCUUCCACUGGUGAUCUUACUAGGAUAUUCAUUGCUACCUAUGAGGUCAGAGUCCAGGGUCAGUCCAUGUAUAGUCUUUAGGUAGUGGCUUAGUCCCUGGAAGCUCUAGUUGCUUGGCAUUGUUGUUCAUAAGGGGUCUCGAGCCCCUUCGAGCUCUUCCAGUCCUUUCUCUGAUUCCUUCAACGGGGGUCCUAUUCUCAGUUCAGUGGUUUGCUGCUGGCAUUCGCCUCUGUAUUUGCUGUAUUCUGGCUGUGUCUCUCAGGAGAGAUCUACAUCCGGCUCCUGUCGGCCUGCACUUCUUUGCUUCAUCCAUCUUGUCUAAUUGGGUGGCUGUAUAUGUAUGAGCCACAUGUGGGGCAGGCUCUGAAUGGGUGUUCCUUCUGUGUCUGUUUUAAUCUUUGCCUCUCUAUUCCCUGCCAAGGGUAUUCUUGUUCCCCUUUUAAAGAAGGAGUGAAGCAUUCACAUUUUGAUCUUCCGUCUUGAGUUUCAUUUGUUCUAUGCAUCUAGGGUAAUUCAUGCAUUUGGGAUAAUAGCCACUUAUCAAUGAGUGCAUACCAUGUGUGUUUUUCUGUGAUUGGGUUACCUCACUCAGGAUGAUAUUUUCCAGUUCCAACCAUUUGCCUACGAAUUUCAUAAAGUCAUUGUUUUUGAUAGCUGAGUAAUAUUCCAUUGUGUAGAUGUACCACAUUUUCUGUAUCCAUUCCUCUGUUGAAGGGCAUCUCGGUUCUUUCCAGCUUCUGGCUAUUAUAAAUAAGGCUGCUAUGAACAUAGUGGAGCAUGUCUCUUUUAUAUGUUGGGGCAUCUUUUGGGUAUAUGCCCAAGAGAGGUAUAGCUGGAUCCUCAGGUAGUUCAAUGUCCAAUUUUCUGAGGAACCUCCAGACUGAUUUCCAGAAUGGUUUUACCAGUCUGCAAUACAUGGGAAACCUCUUAAGAUUCACCCAAACACAUUUCAUGAGCAAUAAACUUUCUAUGAAAAUCCUAUAUUCCCCGAACUUCUAUAGUGUAUAUACCUUCAAAACAAGACAAUGGCAAUACAUGAAAACACCAAGGUCCUUUUUUGGUUUUUCAGGUGUCUGUGCCCCUUAGUCCUAUAGAUGAUUCUGGUGGGAGUUUGGAAGAGCACAAUCUCAAUAAAAACAUGGACAUUAAUGGCUAUUCUCAUGAGGCUCUGACAGUAACAAGAACUCUGGGGGACUGGAGUAGAGCCAUUUAUUCUGUCUCAUUAGUUCUACUUUUUGCCUUUUUAUUGGAUAUUUUAUUUAUUUACAUUUCAAAUGAUAUCCUCUUUCCUGGAUUCCCCUCUGGAAACCUCCUAUCCCAUCCUCUCCCCACCCCCCACUUCUAUGAGGGUGCUCCCCCACCCACCCACCUACUCCUGCCUCCUUCAACAGAGAAAUGGAUACAGAAAAUGUAGUACUAUUACACAAUGGUGUACUACUCAGCUAUUAAAAACAAUGACUUCAUGAAUUUUUAGGCAAUUGGAUGGAAUUAGAAAAUAUCCUGAGUGAAGUAACCCAGUCACAAAAGAACACACAUGGUAUGCACUCACUGAUACGUGGACAUUAGCCCAAAAGCUCGGAAUACACAAGAUACAAUUCACAGACCAUAUGAAGCUCAAGAAGAAGUAAGACUAAAGUGUGAAUGCUUCAGUCCUUCUUAGAAGGGGGAACAAAAUACUCAAGGGAGGAAAUAUGGAGACAAAGUGUGGAGCAGAGACUGAAGGAAAGGACAUCCAGAGACUGACCCACCUGGGGACCCAUCCCACACAGCCACCAAACCCAGACACUAUUGUGGAUGUCAAGAGGUGCUUGCUGACAGGAGUCUGAUAUAGCUGUCUCCUCAAAGACUCUGCCAGAGCCUGACAAAUACAGAGGCGAAUGUUUGCAGGCAACCAUUUGACUGAUCACGGGGUCCCCAAUGGUGGAGUUAGAGAAAGGACUGAAGAAGAUAAGCCCCGCCUGAGUUCCCAGGGACUAAACUACCAACCAAAGAGUACACGUGGAGGGAUCCAUGGGCUCCAGCUGCAUAUGUAGCAGAGGAUGGCCUUGUUGGACAUCAAUGGGAGAAGAUGUCCUUAGUCCUGGGAAGGCUCGAUGCCUCAGGGUAGGGGAAUGCCAACUAAUUCUUGAUGUUUUUUUCAAAAUGACGAAAAUUCAAGUGACAUGAAUUAAAAACUAAGGCUAAGCACCAAAGCAGCAGAACUUGUGGGAAACACUUCCAAAGGUGCCUGGCCUGAGCAUGGUACUCAGUAGUCACUAUAGUUCUAGAGAAGUCUUUUCCUUGACCUUACAUUCUUAUAUCAUGUGGAGAGAUUUUGCCAAUUCUCCAAAUGCCCUUGUGAUAGUUAAUCUUUUUAGUCAACUUAACAUGUUCUAGAAUCAUCUGUGAGAUAAACCUUUAGGUCUGCCUAUGAGGAAUUAUUAGCCUACAGGCAUGCCCAUGAGAGAUUAGCUGGGUUAGGUUAAUUGAGGUGGGAAGACACACACAAGGUAUAGAAAACACAUGGAGUAGAGUCUUCUAAUACUACUAAUCUCUUAGCAACUAAGGCCUUUUAGCUUCCGAUUAUGAACAAUCCCCCUUUUGUAGUCAAACUACAAAUUUCCAGAUCAUUCUGCUCUUCAUUUGCUUCUUUUUCUUACUCUAAACCUCACUAAAGGAAGCUAGUAAUAACCAUACUACAGCUUGAAUGUGAUGUUAUCUUAAAUUUUCCUCCACUAAAUUAAUUAGCUCCUUACUUCUGAAUUUCACCUCACUCAAUUUUUCAGCAUAUAGGCAAAAUAACAAGAAAAUCCUUAGCAUAGACAACAACUGGCUCUAGUCAAUACAGUCCUUAUGUCCAUCAGAACCUUCAUGAUGCAGUUCUUACUGACCACAUCCCUGUCCACAUUCUGGUCCUCUGCACUCCUACCAGAAUCAUUCAUGAAGGCCUAUUUAUGGGCUUCUAAGGCUUCUCUAGCUGUGCAUCCAAGUUCUUCAAAAUCCAUUCUACCAACACAUUAAAAGACCUCAAUCGCCAUGUGGUGAGGGUUAGACACACCAAUUACUCCACAUUCUGUAUCAGUAACAAUUUUCUGUAUGGACUACUAUCCUAUCACCAUGACAGAAGGCCUGAUGAAAGCAAUUUAAGGUAGAAAAUUUUUAUUUUGGUCCAUGGUGUGAGAAAGUUUAUAUCCAUCCUGGUGGAACAGCUUAGUUCAUGGUGAGCUGAACUCUUAUACAUUCGUCUGUUAUAUAAUAUUUUAUUAUAUAUUCUUCAUAUAUAACAGAUUUUGUUGGCAUAGUGAGAGACCAAGACACAAAGGGUAAGGCUAGAGGGUAUAGCCAGAGCUAUAGUAUAACCCUCGAAUGUUCACCAUUAGUGCCCAGUUUAUUCCAGUUAGGCUAUACCUGACAAAAUUUCAAGAACUUCUAAAAAAAAAAAAAAAAAAAAACAAAGGGAAUCAAACCCUCUAGCUGAAGGCCAUGUAUAGGCAAUAGUAGCCUAUAGCUGACUGCCUAGUGAGACUCAUCCCCACAGGCUUAUAUAUUUGAAUGCAUUGUCCCCAGAUAUUUCAGAUAGUGUGGUUUAAAUAAGAACAACCCUCAUAGUGUUUAAAUACUUAAGUCAUUAAGGAGCGACACUACUUGGGUCUUGGGGAGGUGGGGCUUUGGAGCAGGUGAGGUCUUGUUGGAGGAUAUUAUCACCUGGGAUUGGGUUUGAGGUUUCAAAAAGCCAUGUAAUUUCCCAUGCUUUGUCUCUGUUUCUGUCUGUCCCUCUGUCUCUGUCUCUGUCUCUCUAUCUCUGUCUCUGUCUGUCUCUCUCUCUGUCUCUUCUCUCUCUCUCUCUCACCCCCGUGUGUGUGUGUGUGUGUGUGUGUGUGUGUGUGUGUGUGUGUGUGUGCGCGCGCGCCCCUCCUACUUGUGGAUCAGAUAUAAGCUCUCAGCUACUAUUCAAGCUCAAUGCCUGCCUACCUGCUGCCAUACUCCCCCACAAUGGCAGCCAUGGACUCACACUCUGAAAUUGUAUGCAAUCCCCAAUAAAUUCUUCCUUCUAUAUGUUACCUUGGUUAUGAUGUCUUGUCAAGCAGUAGAAAGGUAAUUAAGAAAGUGACACUCUAGAUUUAAUCCAUAUAAUACGUUAAUCUCAUUCAUUUGGGCACAACUCUUGUGGUCUAUUCACUACCCCAAAUUUCCUCCCUCCUAAUACCUAUCACUCUUUAGGGAGGUUAAAAAUCCACAUCUGCAUUUUUUCCUGAAUUGCAGGAGAGGCACAAACACUCAAACCACAGCAAAUCAACUGUAAAUCACAGCAUCCUUGAAAGAAAUCAUGUACAAAAAUUCAAAUUGGAGGCCCAGAAGAAUGCGAUAUUUUAUUCAGAAAUCAUUGGCCUUGUCAAGUACAGGAGAAUAAGUAGAAAUAUUCAAUACGAAUAAUUGCCCUGAAAUAAGACCAACUUGUUUGGUGCUCGGGUAAAUUUUCUUUGUAUCAUAUGUUUACCUUGAGUCUAUUUUCUUCCCUUGACAACUUCAACAUGGUCAAAUUUUAGCAAUUAGCAUUUUCAAACGCAAGAAAUAAAAGUCAAGUAUAAUAGAGAAGUUUAUCUGUCAGUAUUGGGCUGCCAACUCUGAGCAGUGUGGGUGGCUUGCUGCAGGCGACUCAUGACAAGAUGGAUUCCCAGCCUUGCUGACAAGGCAAAAACAAACAUGGCUCUUUCUGACUUGUAAUUUUUCCUCUUUGCUUGAUUCUUUGCCUGCAUAGAGUCUCUCUUUCACUGGAGGCUUUUGAAUCCAGCAAGGAAAUGUCAUGAGAAAGGGUGCAUUUCAGGAUACAAAGUUUGUCUUUUUUUUUCCUGUAGAUUUGUGGUGUCAUGCAAGUUUGAUAUUGGUUAUAAUUAAGCACCAGUCAGUAGUCAUUUGGAGUCUCAGGUCUGUGUUUUCAGGGAGGAGCUACUUUGGACCAGUUUUGAGCAUCUCUUACUUUUGAAUGUUAGCUUUGGUAUGGUAAGAAUAAGAGAAGUCCAUACUGAAAGUUUGUGCAAAUAAAGUUGGAAUAAAAAGAUCUGCUUGGUUAAUUAUAAUUGUACAAUACUUUUACUUUACUGGAUUCCAUUUCUAUCAUCUCUCUUAGCUUUGUCAAUCUAACUCAUUAACCCCUCACAUUUCAGUUUUUCUACCUGUGAAAUGGACAUUGUUACCAACUUUGUAGAGUGAUCCAAAUACUCAGGCAUAGCACGCAUCAUGCAUUAACACUAUACCUGGUGGAGUGUUAGCUAUUAGUGCUCAAAGUGUUUGUGUAUCUUGAUAUACAUGGUUAGCUUGGAGAAAAGCAUUCGAAUUUAGGAACUGAAUAAUAUUACUGACAUUUUCAGGUAAAAUAUGAAAAUAAUUUAUUUUCUUCAACUUUAGUUUUCAAUCAGCAUCAUAUUUUACCAAUGUUGUGAUCCGAGUUGUAGAUCACAGGUCAGAGCUCUUCCUCUCAGUUCAGAUACAUUUCAAGACAUGUAUGAAUUGCUGUGAGCCUCUGGGCGAGUGAUUUUAAAGCUGUGAGUAGGAGUCAGGAAAAAUUACUACCAACAGUUAGAGAUGGAAUUCAAGAAUUGCUAAAAUAAAAAGACAUCUCUGCCCUGGUACUGGAUUUGAAUUUUAAUUACUGUGUCUACAGACCAGAUAGAUGGGGGGAAUUCCAAAACGUUGAUUGCUUUUCUAUGAUAGAAAGUGUUUAUUAUUAACGAUCCUUCUAAAGCUGAGAUGUUUAAACCUAAGGUAAUUCCCAUGAGAUAAUUUUUAUAUGGACAAAAGGUGAGUAAAUAUUGUCUUACAGAAAGCAUUGCAGAGGCAAUUUCAGUUUAAUCUCCUAAAGAUUAAGUGCAAACGUGUUUACAAGAUCAAUGAUGGCAACCAAUAGAAAAUUAUUGAUUUCGUGCAGUUAUUGGUGAAUGUACCCUGAGAGAUAUAUUAUUCAACAGUAGACUAACUAAUUGGUAUUACGUUUUUAUGGUUUCCCACAGCUGGAGACAAGUAAUGUUGUAUCCAAUAGCUGUUACAGAAAAGUAAAUAUUACACACUGAAAGGCAGAGAGACUACAGGACAAUGGGACAGCUGGACAUUUCAAUGCAAUCAUAAGGCUAGAGGUAUACUCAGAGAUCUAUAACAAAAUAAUAUUUUAAAGAUGUAAUAACAAGAAAAGAUAGUGUUCAAUGGGCUGGAAGUAUUGGAUAUUGACAUGCAGACACAUAAAAGUAGAUCCAUUUCUCUUGCCGCUUGCAAAUAUCAACCAAAAAAAUGGAUUAAAGACAUAAAUGGGAGACACAAAACUUUUUUAAUUUAAUUUAAUUUUUUUACUUAUUCACUUUACAUCCUACCAUUGCCCCUCUCCUGGCUACCCCCUCCCACAAUCCUUUCCCCAUCCCUCCUCUCCUUUUCCUAUGAGUGGAUGCCUCCCCAUCCCCCAGCACUUCAAGUCUCUGUGAAGCUAGACUUUUCUUCUCCCACUGAAGUCAGACAAAGCAGCCCAGCUAGA